rnacentral:lncRNA from 1 species
UCAAGACAUAGCUGUGAAGGAAGAAUGAAUUUUCCUUCCAGAUAAAUGAGUAAAGAUAGGAAAUGGGAAGAUGAGCUGGGAAGCCUUAAGAACCUUUAAGCAGGGCUAAAAUAGAAAAAGAAAAAACAAAACAAAACAUCGAUAAUAGCCUGUAUUAUUUGUAUUUUUAAAGAAUCAUAUACCUGCUGCAUUUUAUGUUGUUCUUGAAGAAUAUGCAUUUAUAUAAGAAAAUUCUACUUCGAAGAUUUAAUGAAUGAAUGUUUCCUUCUUGUCUACUAUAGCAGUGAUACAUGAUAUGAUAGAGUAAUGCUUUUUAUUUCAUUGAUGGAUACAAAAAUAAAGAGACAAAAAUAACAGAAUUGCAAGGUAACUUUAUGGUAGAAAAAGGUGGCCCUCAGGUCCUAUUGCGAAGAAAAGUUGCCUAUUUUAUUGCCCUCCUCUGGUAUAAGCCAAACAUUUCAAUAGACAUAGCUCAUAAGAACAGAAGGCAUAGAUUAGAGAAAGCUCUUCACUGGAUACUUAAGUGUGAAAGGAAAACCAAGCACCUGGGUGGCCUACUGUAUGGUUACUCAAGCUCCAUGUAGGAGAAAACUCAGCGCUUUAGCUCCUGGGAAAACUGUCAGGUCAAAUUGCACGCCAUGGCAGGCACACCAUGAGAAGAUGUGUACAUUUUAAGGGAUCAUUAUGAAAGUUCCCAGAUAGCCUGCCUUUUUGUAUCCUAGUUUUUAUUAAAUUUUGAAAAUCAAGUGAACUGUGAAAAACCUCUGGAGUCAUUGAUACGGUUUGGCUGUGUCCCCACCCAAAUCUCAUCUAGAAUUGUAGCUCCCAUGAUUCCCAUGUGUUGUGGGAGGAGCCUGGGGGGAGGUGAUUGAACUAUGGAGGCAAGUCUUUCCUGGGCUGUUCUCGUGAUAGUGAAUGAGUCUCGUGAGAGCUGAUGAUUUAUAAAAAUGGGAGGUUCUCUGCACAAAUUCUCUCUCUUUGCCUGCUGCCAUCCACAUAAGACGUGACUUGCUCCUCCUUGCCUUCUGCCAUAAUUGUGAGGCCUCCCCAGCCAUGUGGAACUGUGAGUCUAAUCAAGCCUCUUGCUUUUGUUAAUUGCCAAGUCUCCGGUAUGCCUUUAUCAGCAGCGUUAAAACGGUAUAAUAUAGUUAUGUAUCAGAAAGUUCAUUACAAAUCUCACCCACAAUCAGAUGAGCAAGGAAAUUACAGAACAAAAUGGCAAGACACAAAAUGGAUUAAUUAAGAAUAUCUGAGGUAUCUUUUUAAAUGAAGAACUCUCAAAGCUCACAUAACUGAUAAUUCUGUUGCAAUAAUUUUCAAAACCUGUCUUUUGAUAAGAGACAGAAUUUAGCAAGUGGAACCAGACCCUUUCUGACUAUAGGUUCGGAUUUUCUUCUCUGUCCGCAGCCCGUCUUGCUGUGUGAUCUGUUAUCAUCUCACUUUACCAAAGCAGGCCAACCCCUACCCUAUCCACACGUGCCUGGGAGUUGGACUCCAUCCUUCAUGAAGGAGUCCUGGUAGCAGUGAUGUGGCAAGGACUGCAGAAAUAAGAACAGUAAGAAUAGCACACACUAAUAGAUCCUUUUCAGGGAACCAUGCCCUGGCUACGUGUUCUCCAGGAGCUUACUUCCAUAAUCCUAAGGAUCCUACAAAUAAGGACAUUGCUGUUAUCCUUGCUCUACUAGGGAAGAACCUGGAAAUGGAAAAGUUAAGAACAUGUUCAAAGUCCCCCAAGUACUAAGGAGUAGGGCUUGUGUUAAUGACAAAAUGAGCAGGUUUUCAUAAGCUCUGCAGAGCUGCAAAAUUCACAGAUAUAGAAACUCCAACCUUUUGGUGGGUGGUAGUGGGCCAAAAUAAUUCUCAUUAUACAUCCUUUGGUGCUAAUUUUUGCUAAUGGUAAUGAUCUCGUCUAUUUAGUAAUUCAAAAUAGGUCCUUAAUACUUGACAUGUUCACAGUCUUCUGUGGGAGCAAGGGAUAUAAAAACAAACAUAGAUUGACCCUCAAAUCAUUUGCCAUACCUGGUUUUUACGUUAUCUCUUUUGCAGUUCUGAAACUGUAUACAUAAUAGACUCAGCCUGGGCUGCUGCUUCAUCAAAGUGACUUUUUGUUGUAGCUGUUGUUUUUUUCAUUCCAGAUGAAUUUUCCUACUUUUGUAUUAAGUACACUGGUUCAGAAGGUGUAAAACUCAUAAUAAAGUAAAUAUUGAAACACAUAUGUUAUGAUAAGAGGAGUGUAGGAUGGCUGUUGCUAGUUUUCCUUCUCUCUCACACACACACACUCACACACAUGCAGACAGAAUAUGCAAUUGUGGUUGCCUCAAAUAACAGAAUAUUAGUGUGGUAGAAGAAAUAAUGCAAGUCAGAAAACCAAGGUUCCAGUCCGGGGCCUGAAGGCAACUCUAAUCCAGGUCUACUAAAGGUCUGCUUAUGAAAUGAUCUGCUGACACCUCCUGUUCACACCUCAUGGAGUUCUUGUAGGAAAUAAAUAAAAUAAUGCAUAUUAAAAUAACAUAAUUGUAUGCAGAGCAAUGUAUACAAAUACCACAUUACCAUUAAACCAUGUCAACCAUACUGUUUCUUAACUGUGCCAUCUUGACCUCCAACUCCUUUCUCCUUCUUUGGUCUUUACAAAGCCAAUCAUGAUGCUAUUUCUAAUCAGCUCUGCUCCUCAAUGCUCUGUGAAAGUCCAGGUGUUUCCCCAGCCAGCAGUUCCUACGCUCUCCUCAAAUGGGUCCCUAUGUUAGGUUUUGGAUCUCCAACAUUAAAUGUAGUUUCUGAUGUGGUAAAUCCUCCCUGUGUUUUUUAGAAUGAACGAACAACUAGACUCUGGAAUAGUCCCAAGAAAAAACUCCCCAGGCAUUGAAUUAAAAAGGAAAUCCAGACCUAUGCAUCAUAUUUGUAUGUAUAAAGAAAGCAGUGGGGGAAGCUAGGGGGAAAUUAAAAUAUAUUUAUAUAUUAAACAUUGAAGUGUAUAAAGAAUGAAGACAACACUCAAAAAAAAAAAAUGAAAUACCCAUCUAGUGGACAAAUAUGUGUUAACAACCUGCUAGUAAAAAGGUACUAUUCUACUGUUAAAAGCAAGAAAAACGCAAUAGAAAGAAGAUGUAUUCCUCUGUUUUCAAACAAUAGCAGAAAAUAUACACUAGUAUUCAAGAGUUGAUUUCUGCACAGAUAGUAGGUGAUGCUUGUGGCUGAAACAGGACAGCUGAGUGAGGCCACGUUGGUGAAGCCCACGGGAUAUGUGAUGGGAAAACAUGACAGCAGGGUAUGAACCCUGCAUUUUCAUGACCAUUUUUCAUCACACUUGGUCUUUUUUUUUUUUUUUUUUGGUUUGGUUUGGGUUUUUCAGUGCCACCUAGUGAAGUAUUUAUUACAUAUAGUGAGUCAUGUUGAUGAAAUAAAUGUCUUUAUCUCCUUAGACAAUAAAUACGCCCAGAGUUUUUAAAACCAAAUCUGAUAUUUGAUCCUAAAAUUCUUUCAAACAAAUUAUCAUACAUGAUUCUAUCGACAAAGUAUUUAGAAAUUAUCCAGUAAAUUACGGUGAGUCAAAAUUGUGCAUUUUUUUAUUUUCAACAAUUUAUAUAAUAAAAAUUGGAAUUCAUUCUUUUAAUUUUACCAUGACUUCUAAGUAUUCUUAAAAAGUAAAACUUUAACAGCAUUGCCACAUUCAAAGCCACACUAUCAGAAAACUGAUGGCAUCACAGAACAACUUGCCACGUAUUUUUUUUACUAGGUUUGUGCAAAAUAAUUGCAGUUUAUAUUUUGAAUCAAGACAUUCAAUAUUUUCUGUUAACGAUGUCAAUUAAACUGCAAGUCAAAUACAUCAACCUUUCUGAAAGAUGAUCCAGAUCAUAGUGCUAAAUUUUCAAUCUACUCCAACAUUAUUAUUUGGGAAAAGUUGACCAGGCUCCCACCUUCCCUCUAUGCCACAACCCCCACCUACCAACAAAAAAGGAAGAAGUGGUCCUUUAGAGAAAAGCAUCAUUCACUCGAACAGAGAGGAAAGGAAAGACAACACUCUGUAGUAUGGUCUGUAGGUAGCUAUGUGGCCAAGGCUCCCGGCAUGGGGAUUUCUCAGCAGACAGUGAGUGAGAAACCUCCAAUCUUAACACUCCCCUUCCACUCACAGCUGAACCACCAACUGUCAUUCCCAACAAUGGGAAUGCUCUACUUUAACCAUGAGCUGUAACAUAUUACAAAUUAUGCAGAUAACACAUUGAUUUGUCGUAAGAGCAAUUUAGCGCCAUUCCUCUAGUAAAACAGUAUUUACUCUUCCUUGUAGCAACCCCUAAAGGAAAUGAUUGCACAUAAGAAAUUGUAAUUAUCUGGUUUAUACAUGAAGUAUGAAUUUGGUGCAAAAGUAAUAGCGGUUUUUGUCAUUACUUUUAAAUGCCACAACCACAAUUACUUUUGCACCAACCUAAAAAAUAAUAGAAGUCUCCCAAGCUAGGGAUGGUCAGGUGUCACCUCGUCAUCACAUGGGCAAUGCUUAUUUCACAAGGACAAUCAAUAGCCAGCAUUCCACACAGGGACAUGUCAAUUACUAUCUAGAAGCAGCAGGCUUCCCAGGAGGCCCUCUUGACAUGUGUCCACAGUUCCAUCGUGAUUCUUCCAGUCCCACAUGCAUUUAUUGAAUGAUAAGUGCAGGCCUUAGUAACCACCUGAGACCAGGGGCAGAAUAUCCAUGAUAGAUCUGGGUCCUGAACGCUGCCUUUGCCCGUUGCUUCCAGAAAACAGUGGGGAGCUCUGUUUCAGCUCUAGAAGGAGUGGAGCGGGUGAUGAAUUAUCUUUACUCUAGGCUAUUCAUUUUCCCUGGGACACAUUUUUUAAAUAGAGAUUUGGAAAAUGAGACAAACUAAAAAUAAGAACAUAAAAAGGGAGAAAGUGUUGUUAAGAGAGAACCAACAUUUGUGAUUUUUGAGUAGAAACUUUGUAGUUCACAGUAUUAUUUCAUGCGCUACAUUUGAUUAUAAUACUAGACAAGAGAUUCCCAUUAUAAAGCAAACAUCCUUUGCAAUUACCAAGCUCUACAUAAUAGGAAAUGUAUUAAUGUCAGAAAUACUUUUGCAAAAUACUAUGGUAUUAGGUUCACGCUGACCAUGAAGAUCGUGGUCUCCUCCUUCAACAAGAAUUGCAUCUUACUUAUGUAUGCCCAAGGGCAAAUGCCUAGUACUAAAAAACUAUAAAAUAAUUGCUAGAUGAUUUUUUACAUCAGGUAAUUAUUGUGCAAGCAAGAAUACACACUCAUGAAAAAGACAGUGGAAACCAACUGAAUUAUAGAACUGUGUUGUGGUCUAUUACGAAGGUAGCUGACACACACAUUGGUAAACACUGAUCAUGUCUCUUUCACCAACUUGACAUCACUCUUGGGAAUUAACAAAAAUUGUGUAAUUUUUGCAAAAUAUCCUAGAAGUAUUAGAAAACCAGAAACGUAGGGUUAUUAUAAUUAUCAUUGCUUAAAUUUGCUUUCAUAUUUGAUAAAUAACAGGUUACGUUAGCAGGGACUAUGAUUCUCCACAACCUGAAUUUUCUUUCAAGAUACUCUAACCCUGGAGAAUAAAUUUAAUCGACAAAUGUUUUUUUUCUCCCCCCAAGAAGACAUAGGAUAUUUAGCCAUGAUUCCAGAAGACUAUUGUGAAUGAUCAAACAUGACUUCGUCAAGGUUAGACAAUCCUGGUUUUCAGGGAAUGGCUUCUAACCCAACUGUAGAUACCAUCUAUCCACAUCCUCUUACUUACAAAGUCUUUAUAGAGCUAUUGAGCUGUAUAAUAUUUCAUAUUUUUCUUUCCCUUUCUUUGUGUGUCUGGAUCCAAGACAUAAUUUUUUUCAGAAGCUUCGGAGGAUUCUAACUUGCUUUUACUUAAGAUAUUUUUCAAGAAAGUUAAGUUACCCAAUGACAUAAGUGCACAUAUAAUUCUUCCUAGAUGCUUCCCAAAUCAGAUUUAGUUGUUUUGGCCAGUUGGGUUGCUGUAAUUACAUCAAACAUUAGCAUUAGGAGUCUUUUUUGUAGCAUUUAUAUGAUCAGGAAUGAGCUGUGUAGCUGGUAUAUUGUUAUAUAAGUCUUCCUCUGCCCUUUACCCAAAAAACAAUAAAAUCUCACCAGAAAGUAAAAUUUGUUUUUAUACGGUCAUUUUAUACCUUUUUUCUGAACUUAUUUUAGGCCAUGCAAUUGCCUUUACCUAUCCUUCUGGCAGAUCCUGUUUGCAAAGUUGGUGAGUUGUCAGUGUCAAGAUAUAAAGAAUGAGUAUCACUUUUCCAAAACGCAGGUUAUCCGUACCAGCAGGUGUUUGUAGAGAUAAGUGUUCUUUUGUACAAAGAUGCAUCUUGUGCUUAAGAAGUUGGUAGGGCCCCAUAUUGCAGCCAUAGAUCCCAGAACUAUAGAUAAAAUUUGAAUACUGAAAGUACAUAGCAGAGAGUGGAACUUUAUACAGUACAUUUCUUUCUAUUAAUAGGUACACUGAUAAUGAAAUGCAUCAUAUACAUGACUUUAGACACACUACAAUCGUAGCUAUUCAUUCUUUUUACUGAUGAAUCCUGGAAAGUCUAAUGCAGAAGUUAGAAAGAUUAAGUUUUCAGCCUGUGUCUUUAAAUGGAAUGACGUCUUAGUUCUAUGAAAUCAGACUUAACAGGGGAAGAUAAGGCAACCUACAGGGCGUGCCUGCUUCCUGAGGGUGUGCUGACUGGCCCAGGGCACUCUGGAUUGUAUUCAGUCUCUAUAGAAUCCAUGGCUCUCACUCAGAGCCCUGGGUGUGGGAUCAUGUCAGUGCUUUGGAAAACAUGCAUCAAAGCCUAGAGCCUUUCCCACCACAUUCAGCAGCAUAUGCUUCAGAUGGGUUUGCAUUUUGUGUUCUGGUUCUGACUUUCAUCCUUUUAAGGACUAUUUCUAAAUACUUCUCAAUGUCCUUGUUUUUGACCUGUAUUCCUUGGUUCAUGGCUGCUGUUUCCAACUUUCUGUUCCAUCUUCAGUGAUAAGACAAUAUCUAGACAGGAGUAGCCCCACAAGUCCAAUUAAUCCCUACCUCUCUAGAGAGCCAUCCAUGAACAGCAACAACAAAAGUUAUUUUAUAGGAAUAAAGAAGGUGGGAUCCAGGAAGUCACAGAAAGACAUUCCAAGACUCUCAAUCAUGCCAGAAGCAGCAUCGGACACUGUUGUGGAUAUCCUGCCGUUUAGUGGCUGCACAAGUGGAUACUGAGAAUAGACUCCAUCAGGGUGUGCUCAGACAAAAGCAUGGCUUCCCCCAGCGAAGCCACGGGAAUACGCAGUGGAAGACCUACCUGGCCUCGAAUCACCAGGCAUGCAGCCGUUGCUGACUCUCAGGGCCGUGUUUAUCCAACAGAGCUGCGUAAGAUCCAGCAGAAGCAGCACUUUUUGCAUUGCUUUGAUCACAUAGGAUUUAGAAUGCUUAUUUUCUCAUUAGUUAUUCUCUCUUUGUGAGAAAAGCAUUAACUUCAUUAACUGGCUCUGACAAACCAAUUUGCUUUUAACAGCUGUACUCAAAACCAGACACCAUGCUCUGCGUCAUGGUUUUCAUCUGAAUCACAUAACUGAGUAUAAAUAUAGCUGUCAAUUGCUUCAUCUCUCCAAUAAUUCUGGAGACAUUUUCUUGCUAGGUAUCAAUAAAACCUCAAAUAAAAUAGACCAGAGCCUGUGAUGUCAUUUGGCACAGGUAUACCAUGACUCCGGUGUAACAUGCAACUGGAGGUGGCUACAUUUUUUUUUUUUUUGCCUGCUAUUUACUGCCUUGAUGUAUGUGGCACCCUUAUAUUUUUCUAAUCCCUCUUCUGCAUUUAUUUUGUUAUCCUACCACUACGACAUUGCAAAUAUUAUAACUUCUCCAGAGUUCAUAUUUUCUCUUCAGGUCUAACUUUUUUUUUUAAAAGGCUGGGUGCGAUGGCUUAUGCCUGUAAUCCAAGCACUUUG